rnacentral:rRNA from 1 species
UACGUAGGCAGCGAGCGUUGUUCGGAGUUACUGGGCGUAAAGGGUGUGUAGGCGGUUGUUUAAGUUUGGUGUGAAAUCUCCCGGCUCAACUGGGAGGGUGCGCCGAAUACUGAAUGACUUGGAGUGCGGGAGAGGAGAGUGGAAUUCCCAGUGUAGAGGUGAAAUUCGUAGAUAUCGGGAGGAACACCAGUGGCGAAGGCGACUACCUGGCCUGUUCUUGACGCUGAGGCGCGAAAGCUAGGGGAGCAAACGGG